GAUGAACGCUGGCGGCGUGCCUAAUACAUGCAAGUCGAGCGAACGGGCGAGAAGCUUGCUUCUCUGAUGUUAGCGGCGGACGGGUGAGUAACACGUGGAUAACCCACCUAUAAGACUGGGAUAACUUCGGGACACCGGAUCUAAUACCGGAGAAUAUUUUGAACCGCAGGGUUCAAUGGUGAGAGACGGUCUUGCUGGCACUUAUCGAUGGAUCUGAGCUGCAUGAGCUAGUUGGUAAGGUAACGGCCUACCAAGGCAACUAGGCAUAGCCGACCGGAGAGGGUGGUCGGCCACCCUGGAACUGAAACACGGUCAAGACUACUACGGGAGGCAGCAGUAGGGAAUCUUCCGCAAUGGGCGAAAGCAUGACGGAGCAACGCGGCGUGAGUGAUGACGGUGUUCGGAUCGUAAAACUCUGUUAUUAGUGAAGAACAGAUGUGUAAGUAACUGUGCACAUAUUGACGGUACCUAAUCAGAAAGCCACGGCUAACUACGUG
rnacentral:rRNA from 1 species